GACGAACGCUGGAGGCGUGCUUAACACAUGCAAGUCGAACGAUGAAAUGGAGCUUGCUCCAUGGAUUAGUGGCGAACGGGUGAGUAACACGUGAAUAACCUGCCCUUACUUUUGGAAUAACUCAGGGAAACCUGGGCUAAUACCGGAUAAGUAAACCUGUGGCAUCAAAUGGUUUUGGAAAGUUUUUCUAUUAAGGAUGGAUUCGCGGCCUUUCAGCUUGUUGGUGAGGUAAUGGCUCACCAAGGCGACGAAGGGUAGCCGGCCUGAGAGGGUGAACGGCCACACUGGGGCUGAGACACGGCCCAGACUCCUACGGGAGGCAGCAGUGGGGAAUAUUGCGCAAUGGACGAAAGUCUGACGCAGCGUCGCCUCGUGAGGGACGAAGGUCUUCGGAUUGUAAACCUCUUUCAGCAGGGACGAAGCGAAAGUGACGGUACCUGCAGAAGAAGCACCGGCUAACUAUGUGCCAGCCGCCGCCGUAA
rnacentral:rRNA from 1 species